AGUGAACGCUGGCGGUAGGCCUAACACAUGCAAGUCGAACGGCAGCACAGUAAGAGCUUGCUCUUACGGGUGGCGAGUGGCGGACGGGUGAGGAAUACAUCGGAAUCUACUUUUUCGUGGGGGAUAACGUAGGGAAACUUACGCUAAUACCGCAUACGACCUACGGGUGAAAGCAGGGGAUCUUCAGACCUUGCGCGAUUGAAUGAGCCGAUGUCGGAUUAGCUAGUUGGCGGGGUAAAGGCCGACCAAGGCGACGAUCCGUAGCUGGUGUGAGAGGAUGAUCAGCAACACUGGGACUGAGACACGGCCCAGACUCCGACGGGAGGCAGCAGGGGGGAAUAUUGGACAAUGGGCGAAAGCCUGAUCCAGCAAUGCCGCGUGAGUGAUGAAGGCCUUAGGGUUGUAAAGCUCUUUUACCCGGGAUGAUAAUGACAGUACCGGGAGAAUAAGCUCCGGCUAACUCCGU
rnacentral:rRNA from 1 species